GUAACAAGGUUUCCGUAGGUGAACCUGCGGAAGGAUCAUUAGUGAACAUAGGACGUCCAACUUAACUUGGAGUCCGAACUCUCACUUUCUAACCCUGUGCAUUUGUUUGGGGUAGUAGCCUUUCGAGGCGAAUCCCUAUUCACUUAUAAACACAAAGUCUAUGAAUGUAUUUAAUUUUAUAACAAAAUAAAACUUUCAACAACGGAUCUCUUGGCUCUCGCAUCGAUGAAGAACGCAGCGAAAUGCGAUAAGUAAUGUGAAUUGCAGAAUUCAGUGAAUCAUCGAAUCUUUGAACGCACCUUGCGCUCCAUGGUAUUCCGUGGAGCAUGCCUGUUUGAGUGUCAUGAAUACUUCAACCCUCCUCUUUCUUUAUGAUCGAAGAGGUGUUUGGAUUCUGAGCGUUUUGCUGGCCUCGCGGUCGAGCUCGCUCGUAAUGCAUUAGCAUCCGCAAUCGAACUUCGGAUUGACUUGGCGUAAUAGACUAUUCGCUGAGGAAUUCUAGUCUUCGGACUAGAGCCGGGUUGGAUUAAAGGAAGCUCCUAAUCCUAAUGUCUAUUUUAAGAUUGAUCUCAAAUC
rnacentral:rRNA from 1 species